GCCAAUGUGGCGUAGUGGUUUGAAUGUUUGACUACAACUCUGGAGAUCAGGGUUCAAUUCCCCGCUCAGCCA